AUUGAACGCUGGCGGCAGGCCUAACACAUGCAAGUCGAGCGAGCGGCGGACGGGUGAGUAAUGUCUGGGGACUGCCCGAUAGAGGGGGAUAACUACUGGAAACGGUGGCUAAUACCGCAUACUAUCGGAUAACCCAUAUGGGAUUAGCUAGUAGGGGGGGUAAAGGCUACCCUAGGCGACGAUCUCUAGCUGGUCUGAGAGGAUGAUAAGCCACACUGUGACUGAGACACGGCCCAGACUCCUACGGAGGCAGCAGUGGGGAAUAUUGCACAAUGGGCGCAAGCCUGAUGCAGCCAUGCCGCGUGUAUGAAGAAGGCCUUAGGGUUGUAAAGUACUGUCAGCGGGGAGGCGUUAACCGCAGAAGAAGCACCGGCUAACUCCGUGCCAGCCGCCGCGGUAAGUC
rnacentral:rRNA from 1 species